GCGACCGUUUUCCACAUGAGUGCCCCAAGUACCUGGAUAUCUUGGUCUCCUGUUUCAUGGAGACACUCACGAAAUACAUCCUUUGAGAGCUGAUGAUAAAUGAAGAGAGAAAGAGAAAGUUUUCUUCAGGAAGCCUGACAACUUCUUUAGUUGGAGAAAAUGUUUCCUUGAGGAAGAGCUAUGAGUUGUUUGAUUUUCCAUUGCAAAUACUAGAGCAAAGAGGAAGGGAAUGACUUGUCAAGUUCGGUAGCGGUGCACCUACCUGCAGUCCAGGGAGCUGCUUGAUCUGCUGCAGACCACUGGUGACACAUUCACAGCGAUUACAGAGACACCCCAGUCUUCAACCCAGUUUUGUUAUCUUCACUCUCACUUUCUCGAUGAGUGGCCACAGAAGCCCCAAGUCUGUGGGUAAAUGUUCUUGUUCACUGCUCGAACAAAGCAUUUGAAUUCAUACAUGGGAAAGGAAGUUUUCUUCCAGCCACUGGAAAAGCAGAGACAUUAACUGAAAAGCUUUUUGAAAGAAGUGACACUUGUUUGAGCAAUGCAGAGUCUUAAGAAAAGGAGCUGAAUUCAGUCAUGCCUCCCCCAAUGACGUCAGCUAAGAAAAGCACUUUCAGCCUGUUCCUACCUGCUGAGACCAUAUGUCCGCUGGGAAGAAUUUGGCAGACAUCUCCGAGUAGAAGUAAUUACAAGAGGCAGAAAUGGUCCUGAUAGCAGAAUUCAGGAGUUAUUUCUGUGCUGCCAGCUAACUGACCGUUGCUCCCAGGAAUGGAUCUGAAGGAAUGCUGGACCACGGUAUCCAUCAGAUGGACUCAAAACUGCAGCUUGGGAAGUGCACAAUUUGCAGCAAGAGGAGUAAUAACUCCAGAAAAGAAAGAGUGAAUAUUUGAAGGGCGAAGGUUUGAAAGAUAACAGAAGACAAAGAGAGAACUACGUUAGCCCUGGCUCCAAUCUGGUGAGCAAUCACAGAACAUAAGCCAUAGAUUUUAUUAAUCUUUUUUUUUUUUUUACAUAGAAUCAUUAAGGCUGGAAAAGCCCUCUAAGCUCAUAGAGUCCAAACAUCACCCAACCCCACCAUGCCUACUAAACCAUGUCCCCAAGUGCCACAGCCACACAUUUUUUGAAUCCCUCCAGGGAUGGAACCUUCACCACUACCCUGGGCAGCCUCUGCCAGGGCUUCACUGCUCUUCAGUAAAGACAUUUUUCCUCAUAUCCAAUCUAAACCUGCCCUGGCACAACUUGAGGGCAUUUCCUCUUGUCCCAUUGCUUGUUACUUGGGAGAAGAGCCCAGACCCCACCUCACCACAACCUCCUUUCCAGAAGCUGCAGAGUGUGACGAGGUCUCCCCUCAGCCUCCUCUUCUCCAGGCUGAACAGCGCCAGGUCCCUCAGCUGUUCCUCAUAAGAGUUGAACAAUACGAAUUUUGUAACAGCAUGGCUUAAAAACGCACAAUAAUAUCUUAGGACUUAAACCAAAAACUUUACCUUAUCUUUUCUCAGCACAGUAGAGCAAAAUGAUUUUUAGAACAUAAAAAACCUUUUGGAGAGAUAUCCUUAAUUUGCCAUUUGCCCACACUUCUCCUGCCCUUUGUCUGGAAAGGCCACACUGUCCCUGGUAGAUUUUUUUUCCCUUUAAUUUUAAGCUGCAAAGUAAACAUUGUAAGCUUGGCAGGAGAAGCUUGUAUGUAUUUCAGAGCAAUGUUUUGCAAUUCUUGUUUUUACAGCCAUAAACACCUUCUAAUGCCAGAGGGGAGAAGGACUUUAAUCCAGAUAAAAUAUGGUUCUUAAAGACUGAAAUCUGCACUCAGGUUUAUAGGCCAAUUUUAAUAUUUGAGCUCCUGAGCCAAGAGCUGCACAUUCCCUGUGUGCAGCACGGGGUGUUGCCUGACGGGCUGCUUCCAAGGUCAGAGCACAUCAGGCUGCUUCGCCCAGCCAGAGUUACCCCACCAUCUAUUCCAACAAAUACACUUGGAGUUUUGUUCUCAGAAUGUGUUUGCCAAAUAUUAUUUCCAUAUUUACUUUGCCUUUUAGCCUUACAUCUUUGAUUUUUUUUCUCUCUUGUAGUAUUUUUAUCCUGUAUUUUAUUUAACACCUUUUAAUAAGACGAAUUCUUACCAAGCGAGCACAACAACAUCUGAAAGAUGAAAUCUAUCUCUUUGAUGGUAUGAAACCAUGACCCAACAGGCCCGUCCUCUGCCUAGAGGGCUAGCAGAGCUUCAUGUUAGAUUAUUAAACCCUUUGGAAACUCGGCUAUGUUUAUUCAUAAUGCGAGGUAUCUAGCCGACAUCACAAUCCUUUCCUCUUUUGAGUGCAAAAAUAAUUUACAAUUAAAAGUAUUUGCCAUUUUGCUCUGCCUGAGCCAUGCUCCUUUUUUUAUUCCUGACGAGUUUCAGUUGACAUUUGCUUCUUUCUCUUUUUCCAAGUAGCUCAUUUGCUUUAGAGCUACAAAAUAUUUAAAUGAGAACAUACAACCAUGUCUCACAGAAACCAACAGGGCGUGCUGGUGCACAAAACUGUUCCCUACCUCCAACUAAAAGCAAACACGCUCCCCACCUCCCUCUGGUAGCUGCCUUUGCAAGAUCCUGCUGGCCAGUUCACUCCAUGCUGAAACUCCGACCCUUAUGCCUGUGGUUCCCAGAGGCCUCUGUCACGCAGAGCAUUCGCAGACUUUUUUAACCAAACAAGUGAAAAGUUGCUGCCACAGCAGUAAUGUUUGCCUGUCAACGGUCCAUCGUACACGGCACUCAUGAAGCAUUAAUUUUGAAUCUUGUUUAUUAGUCUUUCUAACAACUUUAAUUUUUAGCAUUACAUUUUCUUGAAAGUAACGGUUUGCAUUUUGCUCUUUGCUUUGUCCCUACCAGUUGCACCUGAAAUAUCAUCUAACUAUCACCAUGAUGGAGGGAAGAAGCCAGUCUACUUAUCUGGUUUUAUCCUUCCAUCCAAAGCCACCAUUCUAGAGACUUUCCGUGUCUUCUCUGGAACUGGUUGCUGGCAGUUUAAGCUUCACACAGCCAAAGCUGGACACCCUUUUUCCUGACUCCCUCACACUGCCUUCAUUAGUAAAGGCACCAUGCUACUAGUGUUCCUCUUGAUAACUAGUCAGGCUCCUUUGACACCUUCCCUUCUUUCACUGCUUGUUCCUCUGCUCAUACCACUCUCCACUGCUCUCACUCAGUUUCUGCUGCUACUCCAUCCAUAACAGUAAAAGAUGACCUUUUCUCUUUCCAGACAGUAAAAGCCCUUGUCUAGGCUCCUUGUACCUGCCAGGGUUUUCUUUCUCACCUCCCUUCCAUCUUUUACAACCCAGAGAACAAGGAACUAUGGAGAAAAUUUAAUGGCUAUAAAUUGGACGGGGCAGAUUUAGAUUAGACAUAAGGAGGAAUUUCUUCACAAUGAGGGUGGUGAGGCCCUGGCCCAGGCUGUCCUGCCCCAGAGGUGUUCAAGGCCAGGCUGGAUGGGACCUUGGGCAGCCCGUGGCAGGGGGUGGAACAGGAUGGGCUUUAAGGUCCUUUCCAACCCAGACCAUUCUAUGAUUCUAAGAUUCUAUGAUAAUUUGUUCAUUUUUUCAUUACAUAGAAGCAUGUUCUUUUAACUCAUUGUGCAGCUUCACAUCUGCUGCACGAAUCAGCUCAAAUGUCUCAUUCCCGUCAUUAUGACUCACCUAUUAACUUGAUCUUUUUCUCUUUUCACUUUCAUAAUGACGUGACCUUCAGUUAAUCUAAGUCCUCUACAACAGUUUGCAGGUUUCUUUCAGCAUUAUCUUGUAGGUGUGAAAACUUCCUCAAAUUGGCUGUCUGGGUCAUUUAUCUUUCCUCAGACUGCUCCUCCAUACGUACCAUUAGCAAAGUAUUGGUAUGAGCAGAUAAAAUAAUUGUCAAGGAGUUUCCAUUCUUCAGAACUCUCAAGCGGUUUGCUCUAACACUGACCUCUGCCAUGGGUGGGCUUUUCUGAACCCCCUAACAAUCCUGGCACUGAGCCAGUUGUGCCUUGUGAGGAGCUUCUUCGUGUCUUGGUGACAUCAACAGAUUCAGUCGACAGAAGGUAUUUAUUUGUGAAAGGCAUUUGCAAACUCUCUGCAGUAUAACCGCUGUGGGGUCCAGCAUCACAGCCGGCAGCAGCCUACAUUUGGUCUUUUUCUCCUCCUGGAAAAAGAAAAGAAGCAGAAGCCCUGUGCUGUCCCAGCAGACUGCGGCUGCUGCUGCGUGUCGAAGGACAGGGCUUAGAUCCUUCUGAACGAUGGCACUGUAAUGAUCUCAGCUUCAGCUGGGGAGGUUUGGAGUCAUACAGGAUGUGCUGGACUUGCUCCUGUGCGCUAUACAAAAAUCCAUGUUAUUAAUUUUGAUUAAAAAUAUACUUUCUAUAGCUAUUUUCUGUACUUAAGAGUGGCUGUGAACAGACUGCGUGGAUCUGUCUGGCAAUAUGAAUUGAUAACGAUGGUGAGCAAGGAUGACUCAUUCAAAGACCGUGGUGUAAUCACUAGAAGGACUCAAACCGUGGGCCUGAGGAACGACUUCUCCACAAGCACAGCUAUUACUUACCUACAAACUUUUCCUCUUAUGUAGAAGAACCUAUCUCUUCAGAAAAUCAAUGUCUUGUUUCGAAACUCAGCAUAAGCAACACCUGCUGGUGAAAAAAACGCCUAUGAAACUGCUGAGCCAUCCUCCUGGAAGAACAGGUUUGAUCAUCACUGUGAGCUCUGGGUAAGCUGGUGUAGAAAAGGAGCUUGCCUAUCGCUGUUUGGAGUUAUUCUGCAAGAGCAGGUAACUGGCUCCUUCCCAGAGUGCCCAUCAGCUCCGUAGGGUGAAAACUAAGUGUGACCCAGCUGAUCUCCAGCAGCCUGGAAACUCUUUUCUGAUUCUGAGAGGUAGUCUUGCAGCUUGCGAGUUAAUGCAUUGGUGGAAUGGAUUAAAAGAUUCCUGACUCUUGCUAGUAGGGAAACAUGGUUAUUUUGUUAAAGAAGGAAACCUGAUGUAAUUGUUCAUGUUCAUUGAUCAAAUUUCAAAAAGAAGUAAAAGAAAAGAGGGGAUAAAAAAUACCCUGAGUUGAGAAACACGUUCUGCUGCAUACCAUCCGGGGUAAUUACACAUGAGCAAGUGUCACUCGUCUGUGAUAGCUGCAACAAUUUCUGGUUUAAGUAACACUAUUGUCAGGCAGCAAAGGAGCUUCCCUGGUUCAGUGCGGUGAAGUGAACUAUCAGACUGUAAUGGUUUCUCUUGUCUACGAACACCAAAUAUAAUAUAAAGUCAAGUAACUGGCAAUCUACUUCAAGAGAUGCCAUCUUUUUCAGUUUAAGGACAAAAUCAACUUGGCAAUGCUGGGACGUGGUCAAGUAGCCUUUCACAAAGGCGAGCAACAACUCUUAAACUUCAGAACAUUGACCCAUCAGAGGCCCAGUCUUUGCAGGACACAGUUCCUGUUUGGAGUGACAGAGAAGGGAACGGGGCGUGAUGGAUGGGAUUUGUCAGGUGGAGAACGCACGUGGUGGGAACACCGGUCGGGGUGGAAAUUUUCUCUUGGCCUGGAUUCUAUUGCUCACUCUGCAGACGCAGUUCCACUCUGCAGCCGCGGUGCCCAUUCGUAGCAGAGAUUUGUUACCGCGAGGGGAGUGCAAACAAACGCCAUCCAGGCACUGGAACAGAUGCUAAUCUUAAUUUAUUACAAAGAGAAGUAAAUGGCAAAAAAAGAUGCCUAAGUAAGAUUAAAAUCACAAUGAGGAAAGCCGCUGCCAGGCAUGGCAGGAGGGCUUUUCCCACUGAACUGAAUCACUGGGAAAGUGCUCUGUUUCUGCAUAGAAUCUGCUGUUGAGUUCCGCGAGUCCCGAAUGACGCUCAUCAUUUCGCUUUGUGUCACCCAUGGACACCUCUGUCCACAGGGAACAUGGGGCCAGCGAACUCGCCCUGCCUGGGAUCCAAGGGCCACUGGGGACCCAGGGGAUCACUGGGGGGGCACUGGGGACCCAGGGGAUCACUGGGGGGGCAUUGGAAAUCCAGGGGAUCAUUGUGGGGGUGUCAUUGGAGACCCAGGGGAUCACUGAGGGGUCACUGGGGGCCCAGGGGAUCACUGAGGCUGGAAAAGCCCUCUCUGCUCAUCCAGUCCAGCCGCUGAGCCUCGUCCCCGCUGCCACAGCCUCUCCGUUUAUUUUAAACAAAGCGUUUCCUAUUCGUUCGGGCCGUGCCCGUCCUCUCUUCUCCAGACCGUGGAUUAUCUCCGUUGCUUUAUUUAGGUGUCGGGGGUUCCCCGGUCCCUUUGACGCUUUCCCCGCGCCCAGCGGAGCUGCUCUACGGCCCGGGACGCCCCGAGUCCCGCCCACGGGCGUCCCCG